rnacentral:rRNA from 1 species
ACGAACGCUGGCGGCAUGCCUAACACAUGCAAGUCGAACGAAGGCUUCGGCCUUAGUGGCGCACGGGUGCGUAACGCGUGAGAACCUGCCCCUCGGUUCGGAAUAACACAGAGAAAUUUGUGCUAAUACCGGAUGAUGACUUCGGUCCAAAGAUUUAUCGCCGAGGGAUGGGCCCGCGUAGGAUUAGCUUGUUGGUGGGGUAAUGGCCUACCAAGGCGACGAUCCUUAGCUGGUCUGAGAGGAUGAUCAGCCACACUGGGACUGAGACACGGCCCAGACUCCUACGGGAGGCAGCAGUGGGGAAUAUUGGACAAUGGGCGAAAGCCUGAUCCAGCAAUGCCGCGUGAGUGAUGAAGGCCUUAGGGUUGUAAAGCUCUUUUACCAGGGAUGAUAAUGACAGUACCUGGAGAAUAAGCUCCGGCUAACUCCGU